rnacentral:snRNA from 1 species
AUAAUUACCUAGCAGGGGAGAUACCAUGAUCACAAAGGGACUUUUUCCCAGGGUGAGGCUUAUCCAUUGCACUCUGGAUGUGUGCUGACCCCUGUGGUUUCCACAAACAUGAGAAACUCAACUGCAUAAUUGGUGGUAAUGUCGGACAGUUUUGUGCUCUCCCUUA